AAGUGGGAAACGAUGUGGGAAGGCCCAGACAGCCAGGAGGUUGGCUUAGAAGCAGCCACCCUUUAAAGAAAGCGUAAUAGCUCACUGGUCGAGUCGGCCCGCGCGGAAGAUGUACCGGGGCUCAAGCUGUGUACCGAAGCUGCGGAUUUACCUUUUAGGUAAGUGGUAGGGGAGCGUUCCGUAGGCCUGCGAAGGUGUGUUGAGAGGCAUGCUGGAGGUAUCGGAAGUGCGAAUGCUGACAUGAGUAACGAUAAAGGGGGUGAAAAACCCCCUCGCCGAAAGCCCAAGGUUUCCUGCGCAACGCUAAUCGGCGCAGGGUUAGUCGGCACCUAAGGCGAGGCCGAAAGGCGUAGUCGAUGGAAAACCGGUUAAUAUUCCGGUACCUGUUGUGACUGCGAUGGGGUGACGGAGAAGGCUAGGCCAGCCGGGUGACGGAAGUCCCGGUUCAAGCGUGUAGGGGGUGGACUUAGGCAAAUCCGGGUCCACGUUAACCCUGAGGCGUGAUGACGAGCCCUUUUUAGGGCGAAGUGGUUGAUGCCCGGCUUCCAAGAAAACCCUCUAAGCAUCAGGUCACAAGAGGCCGUACUGCAAACCGACACUGGUGGGCGGGGCGAGAAGCCCAAGGCGCUUGAGAGAACUCGGGUGAAGGAACUAGGCAAAAUGGCACCGUAACUUCGGGAGAAGGUGCGCCCCUGUGUAGGUGAAGGGCCUUGCGCCUGGAGCCGAAGGGGGUUGCAGUGACCAGGGGGCUGCGACUGUUUACCAAAAACACAGCACUCUGCAAACGCGCAAGCGGACGUAUAGGGUGUGACGCCUGCCCGGUGCCGGAAGGUUAAGGGAUCCGGUUAUCCUUUGGGAGAAGCCGGUGAACGAAGCCCCGGUAAACGGCGGCCGUAACUAUAACGGUCCUAAGGUAGCGAAAUUCCUUGUCGGGUAAGUUCCGACCUGCACGAAUGGCGUAACGAUGGCCCCACUGUCUCCACCCGAGACUCAGUGAAGUUGAAAUCGCUGUGAAGAUGCAGUGUACCCGCAGCAAGACGGAAAGACCCCGUGAACCUUUACUACAGCUUUACGCUGGAUGCUGGGCUUGCUUGUGUAGGAUAGGUGGGAGGCUGAGAAGCCGUGGCGCCAGCUGCGGUGGAGCCGACCUUGAAAUACCACCCUGGCAAGUCUGGUGUUCUAACCCAGGGGAGUGAAUCCUCCUCGGGGACAGCGUAUGGUGGGUAGUUUGACUGGGGCGGUCUCCUCCUAAAGAGUAACGGAGGAGCACGAAGGUACCCUCAGCCUGGUCGGAAAUCAGGCGGUGAGUGCAAGGGCACAAGGGUGCUUGACUGCGAGACCGACGGGUCGAGCAGGUGCGAAAGCAGGUCCUAGUGAUCCGGUGGUUCUUCGUGGAAGGGCCAUCGCUCAACGGAUAAAAGGUACUCCGGGGAUAACAGGCUGAUACCACCCAAGAGUUCAUAUCGACGGUGGUGUUUGGCACCUCGAUGUCGGCUCAUCUCAUCCUGGGGCUGAAGCCGGUCCCAAGGGUAUGGCUGUUCGCCAUUUAAAGAGGUACGCGAGCUGGGUUCAGAACGUCGUGAGACAGUUCGGUCCCUAUCUGCUGUGGGCGUUGGAGACUUGAGGGGAGCUGCUCCUAGUACGAGAGGACCGGAGUGGACGUACCUCUGGUGUUCCGGUUGUCACGCCAGUGGCACUGCCGGGUAGCUAUGUACGGACGGGAUAACCGCUGAAAGCAUCUAAGCGGGAAGCCUCCCCCGAGAUGAGGUCUCCCAGGAUCCUGCGAGAUCCCUGAAGGGCCGUUCGAGACGAGGACGUUGAUAGGCGGGGUGUGGAAGCGCGGCGACGUGUGAAGCUAACCCGUACUAAUUGCCCGUGAGGCUUGACCCUAUAACGCCAAAGGGGUUU
rnacentral:rRNA from 1 species